CGUUGAUGUAGAUUUUGGUGCCGUUGCUGAAUUUUUGUGGUUCACUAGUUUUGACACAAUAAUAAACUCCUAAUUCAUCAGCGCUGAUAUUUCUGAUGAACAAACUGCUGUUAGUUUUCACUGAGUAUUUCUCUUCCAAGAUGCUGUUUUCAUAUUCAGCUCCUUCAGAUAUGCUAUCAAAAGUGCGUAAGAUCAACUCUGGAGGAUCUGGUGAUUUCUGUCUGUACCAGUAAAUCUCCUCUAUAUCAAGAUCACAGUUUAUAAUCACAUUGGAUCCUAAAGUUACUGAUGUGUUUGUUAAACUCUCAGCAGCUCGAGACCACAUCAACAGA